UGACAUUGAAGCCGAAGAUGAAAUAUUUGAUGCAACAACUGACUUCAGGCCCCUUGUAGUGCUUCCCGGACAUCCUCUGCGCUCAUGAAGACGCUUUGCUCGCGGCCAGGGCCCGGGAAUGCCGAGACGGCGAGGAAUAGCCCCGCCUGGCACGGACGACAGCCCCGGUUCCAGGCUGGCUGCGGUAACGAGGAGGAGCCAGACCGUAAUUACACCGUGUGUGUUGUUCUGAAUGGGCGCCCUCGGAUCGCCUCCCACGGGACCUCGUGUGCGCAGGAACGCGUGAAGAACUAUUUUACAAUGAUUGCUAGACUUUACAUUUUAACAUACUCUGAGUUUAUAUUGAACCUGACAGCUAUAAAAUUAUUGGUAAAUGAGGAAUUAAUGCAACACAUCUAUACACUAACUAUGACGGUACCAUUUAUCACAUGAGCCUUAUCCCUGUGUCUGUUGUUAACACUGUCUUUACAAGACCAUCCAUGGCAAGAGGGUGGAAAAAGGUGAAUCAUCAGUAAUGCAUAUGUUCCAUACCAGUGGAUAAAGACACAACAGGUGCCUUACAGUAGGGUAUGGUGAUAAUGUGUUAUAUUAAGGUGCGCUUCUUACAAGUGAUUUCAAAUAUUGGUGACAACCUGUAAUACUUAUUAAAUUAUUAAUAUUAAACAUCUAUAAUAUUCCUGUCAUAACACACUUCUAAUAUCAUGUGUUGGCACCCCUUAAUAGUUUAAUGCUUCACAAGCAGGAGGAAAAUAUUGUAAAGUAAUAUUUAUUACAAUAAAUUCAGUAACAAUCUCA